CUAGCAUUUAAGUUAUUACAUGUCUUCACUAUAAUUCAUUCUAUCUUCUCAAAGCAGCUUCUUGUACCCAUUUCUCAUUUCUGACCCUUUUCUGAUUCUGAACCCUUCAUCCACUAGGUGGUACUUUUGGUACUUGUAGCUUCAUUGCUAAUCAAAAGACUCAGGGUAGUUUGAGAGAGGCAAAUGCAUUAUGUAAACAGGCCAUGUGUUAGUGGGAUAUUCACAAGCUGAAGAGAGCCUUUAUCAGAUGUACUUAGACAACUUUAACACACACUCAUGGAAUACAUCUUUUUCUUUUCUUUAGCACAAGUGGAAUAUGAAGGAUUUCAUGUUUCAGAAUGUUUCCAAAAUAUGGGUUCCUUGGGCUAUAUGCACAUGAAAGCCAAUCUUAUGAGGGAGCAAGUGAGCAGCUGCCCUAGUAAUAAGGCUUCACUUGUUAAUUCUUCAGCCAAUAUGUAUUGAACAACUGCUCUGUGCCAAGCACUGUUCUAGUGAAACAGGGAAAAAGUCAUAAGCCAAAAGAGAUCAGAAGAAGUAUUGGAGUUUUGAGGAGACCACAGCUGUGACAAGAUCAUCUAGGAAAAUGAGGACUAUUAUCCAAAACAUUAGCUCAACCACAGGUCAGCCCAUGAUUACAGUCCCAUUAUUGGGGUCUAGAAAAGUCUGAUUUUCAAGUGGACUCUAUUAAAAUGCAGAUACUUAGAAGCCCAAGCGCUGUUCAGCAGGCUUUCUCUUGUAACACAUUCACAUCAGAAAAUGUCUGAGUUGUCAGACUGCUGGAAGUAAGACCCUCAGGGCAUGACGCUUUUGCUCUCUUUUUCCUGGGCAAUCUACAUUUUACUUCAUUUUGUUUUUUCAAGAGAAGUAAGUUGUUAUUGUAGAACUGAGUGUAAUUCAUUUGAAAAGCUUUGCAAGAUUUUAUAUAAUUAAAUCCACAUAUAAGAAAAAAAAUUCCUCAACCCAUUUGUCCCAUUUUCUCUCCUAUAAAAAUGUAACAUAAGUCCAGGCUCUUGGUAGGAAUCAGAGUAGAGUAAGGAAAGACUUGAUU
ensembl:lncRNA